AAUGAACGCUGGCGGCGUGCCUAAUACAUGCAAGUCGAGCGAACGGACGAGAAGCUUGCUUCUCUGAUGUUAGCGGCGGACGGGUGAGUAACACGUGGAUAACCUACCUAUAAGACUGGGAUAACUUCGGGAAACCGGAGCUAAUACCGGCUAAUAUUUUGAACGGCAUGGUUCAAAAGUGAAAGACGGUCUUGCUGUCACUUAUAGAUGGAUCCGCGCUACAUUAGCUAGUUGGUAAGGUAACGGCUUACCAAGGCAACGAUGCAUAGCGGACCUGAGAGGGUGAUCGGCCACACGGGAACGAGGACCGGGUCCGACCCCGUACGGAAGGCAGCAGGGGGGAUACUUCCGAAUUGGGCGAAGGCCUAACGGAGCAACGCCGGGUGGGUAAGGAGGGUCUGCGGAUCGUAAAACUCUGUUAUUAGGGAAGAACAUAUGUGUAAGUAACUGUGCAGAUCUUGACGUUACCAAAGCAGAAGGCCACGGCUAACUACGU
rnacentral:rRNA from 1 species